GGAAGACACCAGAGCUGUCCCUCUCUCGGCUUGCACUAAGGAGGAGGUCACGUGAGCACACAGUGAGAAGGCGGAGGACCAUCUGCAAGCAGGAAGAGAGCCCUCGCUAGAACCCCCCACGGUGGCAUCUGAUAGUGGACUUCUAGCUUCCAGAACUAUUCUUCUUGGACAUCAGCUGACUUAACCAUUGAGGAAAUAAAUGAACAUCUAUUGAGCACCUGUUAUGUGCUGAUGCUUGCUCACUACUUGUUUCAUUUGGCUUUACUGGAUUCUUAUGACAAUUCUUUAAAAUGUGUGUAAUCAUUAAUAUUACCUUCAUUGCAGAACUAAGAAAACUGACUCAGAAUGAGAACUCAUAAAUGUCACAUCAGGCUGCCUCUUGGUGAAUUUUUAAUCAACGGGGAGAAUUUCAGCUACAAAUAGACCAAGAAUCAAGAGGCCCACUAUUGAUCGGUCAAAGUGGCACUUAUGAACCUGAGGUUGAAGCAGUUUGGAUAAAAGGAUUCUGGGCUUUCGAUGGCCCCAGAGACAUCUUUUUCCAUCAAGUCCAGGCUUGCUGAUCGGUACAGCUGAGAACAUGUUGAAUUUGAUGUGCCUGUGGAUAUUUGAGUCUGGAACAUUGAAGACAAGUUUGGUCUGGAGAUGUAGACUGGGGAUAUCUCAGCACACAGAUGAUAACUGAAAUGAUGGAGCGGAUGAUAUAAACUGGAGAGAGUCUGGUGUGGGAAGAGUCUUCCCUGAGGUGGCCGAAAGAUGUAAUUCUUACUCCAAAGACUGAAAUAGAGACAAGAGAAGCUGAAGUUACAGGGUUUUGUCAUUGGGAAGACAGUAGAGUGUGUCAUAUCCCAAGAGUGAAGCAAGGACAAACCAAAGAACAACUGGGAAGAUCUGGGAGAAAAAGGGAGAGGAGAGCCUGACGUUUCAAGAACUCAAGGUUCAGUACUAGGUCUUAGAGGAAGACUUCAUUUUAGCUUUGAUGCUCUCCGCUAGGCACAGAGAAACUUAAGCAGAAUGACAAGACCUGCUGUUUGAGUAACUCACGUUCUGACCAGAGAGACAGACAUGUCAGCAAGAGGUUACAAUACAGUGUGCUCAGAUUCUCCGGGACUUGGAGCACUUGUUCCAGAAAGGAAGGCCAGGGAAGUCUUCCAGGAGUAGAUGGCGCCUCUGCUGACCUGAAGGGUGAGGAAAAAGUGUCCAGUUGCAGAAGGUGCAACUGCCUAUAGAACAGCUGCCGCGGCCCACUGAAAGCUUCAAGCCGAGACCUGAGGUGCAUGAACCCUCCUUCUGAUAAGCUUCAGAGCAGAAAUGAUGCAACUGAGUCACAGAGAAGUUAAGUAAUCUGCCUGCCGACACUCGGGUCGAUGCCGCCUCAUUCCAUCACUCGGGCAAUGGAGCCAAAGGCCACGUUCACAACCACUAGGCUGUCCCAGCCCCUUGCUUCAAAGAUAGCCAGGCAGGAGUUAUUUUAUAGAAUGGAAGUAAUUUCUACGGGGCCAAGCAAUAAUAAGGAAAUUGGAAGUCAAGGACUAUCUUCCGAAUGGAGAAGAAGCUCCAUCAACCACAGAAGGAAAUUAUGAUCACUCCUGCCAUCCUGCUCCUUUGUGUAUCCAGGAUGAAGGGGAGAAUUGGAGUCUUGCACAAUGAAAGGACAACAUUGCUGCCAAAACAAUCCAUCGUGACUGUAGACAUAUUUUCCACCCUCAUCCUGCAGGUUUUCUGCCAGUUGUUGGCCCCUCACCAAUUUUGCUCCUGGGCAGUCUGAGGUGGAACAUAAUUUUGUAUAAAACAAAUUAUGCUCAACCUCACUUAUAAUCAGGGAAAUGUGAGUCAAAACCACAAUAAAAUAUCACCUCAUGCUG
ensembl:lncRNA novel transcript